UGCGUAGGUGGCCUUUUAAGUUGGAUGUGAAAUACCCGGGCUUAACUUGGGGGUGCAUCUAAUACUGGGAGGCUAGAGUGCAGGAGAGGAAAGCGGAAUUCCUAGUGUAGCGGUGAAAUGCGUAGAUAUUAGGGGGAACACCAGUGGCGAAGGCGGCUUUCUGGACUGUAACUGACACUGAGGCACGAAAGCGUGGGGAGCAAACA
rnacentral:rRNA from 1 species